GCGGAUGUGGCGGAAUUGGUAGACGCGCUAGAUUUAGGUUCUAGUGCCGCAAGGCGUGAAGGUUCAAGUCCUUUCAUCCGCA
rnacentral:tRNA from 2 species